UACGGGGGGAGCAAGCGUUGUUCGGAUUUACUGGGCGUAAAGGGCGCGUAGGCGGUCAGCACAAGUCAGUUGUGAAAUCUCCGGGCUUAACUCGGAAAGGUCAACUGAUACUGUGCGGCUAGAGUGCGGAAGGGGCAACUGGAAUUCUCGGUGUAGCGGUGAAAUGCGUAGAUAUCGAGAGGAACACCUGCGGCGAAGGCGGGUUGCUGGGCCGACACUGACGCUGAUGCGCGAAAGCGUGGGGAGCGAACAGG
rnacentral:rRNA from 1 species